rnacentral:rRNA from 3 species
CGUGAAUUCAUCUCCGGGGGUAGAGCACUGUUUCGGCUAGGGGGCCAUCCCGGCUUACCAACCCGAUGCAAACUGCGAAUACCGGAGAAUGUUAUCACGGGAGACACACGGCGGGUGCUAACGUCCGUCGUGAAGAGGGAAACAACCCAGACCGCCAGCUAAGGUCCCAAAGUCAUGGUUAAGUGGGAAACGAUGUGGGAAGGCCCAGACAGCCAGGAUGUUGGCUUAGAAGCAGCCAUCAUUUAAAGAAAGCGUAAUAGCUCACUGGUCGAGUCGGCCUGCGCGGAAGAUGUAACGGGGCUAAACCAU